rnacentral:rRNA from 1 species
UGGGGAAUUUUGGACAAUGGGGGAAACCCUGAUCCAGCCAUCCCGCGUGUGCGAUGAAGGCCUUCGGGUUGUAAAGCACUUUUGGCAGUAAAGGAACGUCAUGGGUUAAUACCCCGUGAAACUGACGGUACCUGCAGAAUAAGCACCGGCUAACUACGUGCCAGCAGCCGCGGAAAUACGUAGGGUGCAAGCGUUAAUCGGAAUUACUGGGCGUAAAGCGUGCGCAGGCGGUUCGGAAAGAAAGAUGUGAAAUCCCAGAGCUCAACUUUGGAACUGCAUUUUUAACUACCGGGCUAGAGUGUGUCAGAGGGAGGUGGAAUUCCGCGUGUAGCAGUGAAAUGCGUAGAUAUGCGGAGGAACACCGAUGGCGAAGGCAGCCUCCUGGGAUAACACUGACGCUCAUGCACGAAAGCGUGGGGAGCAAACAGG